ensembl:lncRNA
UAGUAUAUUAAACAAAUCCCAGCACCACACCAAAAGGAGGCAGCAAAUCAGAGCUAAACAUAUCCAUCUGCUAAUUUCCACAUGGUAAGAGAGCAACACAAAACAGGUUUAUAAUAUUUGGAUGUUUUAUUUUCUUUAAAUCAAGCAGGUUACAUUUCAUUUGUUUUUUUUUUACACAAUCUGAUAUUUAGAGGCAUUUGCAAAUAUGCUCAUAAAUUACAUGAUUUGUAAUCCCAAAGAAGGUGGUUAAUGAUCAAUAUUGGGAUCAACAGUGAUCACCCUACUAAUGUAGGCAUUACGUAUACAGGCCGAAAAAGAAAAGUUCCCAUUAAGGUCUCAUGUGAAACACCACAGGUCUGAAAUACUCAGGAACACAUGAAAAUGGCACAAAAAUGAAUUUCACUCUCCAACCUUUUGCUAAAGAGACGUUGACAGGCCCACAGAGAGCCUGGACGCUCACGGGACAACAUUCACACACAUUCUGCUUCAUGAAGAGGUCAGAUUAUCGUCAGACCAUAGACAUUACAUGUAAGGACACUGAACAUUUGGCCGGAUUACACAUAGAAAUGCAAUCCAAAAUGGGUAAAGAUAAAGCAUGUUUAUUGAUGCGGCAAACAAAGGUUCAAAUAUCCUCCAAAGCACUUCAAGCCCUCAAAGAAUGAAACUCAAAACACAGAUAAGGUAAAAGAAGAAACUUCUAAAUUAAAGUGGAGCGACCCAGGGACAAGUCUGGUUUGGGUUAAAGAUUAUGGAUGGUUAACUUUGUGUAACGUGUUUGGAAAAGCAAGUUUAGGUUUUAGGCAAGCGACUUCAGGUAUUAGGCAAGCGAGUACAGGCAAGCGAGUUUAGGUUUUAUGCAAGCGAGUUCAGGUAUUAGGCAAGCGAGUUUAGGCAAGCGAGUUUAGGCAAGCGAGUUUAGGCAAGCGAGUUUAGGCAAGCGAGUUUAGGCAAGCGAGUUUAGGCAAGCGAGUUUAGGCAAGCGAGUUUAGGCAAGCGAGUUUAGGCAAGCGAGUUUAGGCAAGCGAGUUCAGGUAUUAGGCAAGCAAGUUCAGGUAUUAGGCAAGCGACGCGAGUUUAGCCAAGCAAGUUCAGGUUUUAUGCAAGCGAGUUUAGGUGUUAUGCAAGUGAGUUAAGACAAGCGAGUUUAGGCAAGCAAGUUUAGGUAAGAGAGUCAAGUUACUUUAGGCCUCACUUUAUUUGCGGUUAAAUUGCGGCAUUAGGUUUAGAAAGAAGGUUAAGAUCCAGGCUCAGGUUUGCUUCCAGCCUCGUCCCUCUAGUCGCUCCCUAUAAAGAGGGUUCCCAGCUACCGUGUUAAAAUACAACAGCUGGGAUUACAGAUAUGGAGUACAGAAAUAAAUGACAAAGAUUGAUUCAAACAUUCUUCCCCCAAAAUGUGGUGCAACAUAAAAUGGAGAAAAAAUUACUUUCUCUCCAUUGAAACCCAGUCAUAUCUUACGAUCUCACAAGGUCCCGCCGCAAGGGGCGGACUUACGAGCUCUAUAGAGUGUGCACUGUGUUGAUGUUGGGUGUGGAUUAAUGUGCUGGUGUAGCCAUCCAGGGAUCCUCAGGGUUUAUGGGAGUAGGACACACUGGUGUAGCCAUCCAGGGAUCCUCAGGGUUUAUGGGAGUAGGCCACACUGGUGUAGUUCAGUACUGUGAAGUAAAUUGAUGCAAAAAGUAGAAUCAGUGUCAAGGGCAAUCAAAUGUCUAUAAAUGCAGGAACAGCCCCAUCUGGUCUCAAUCAGCAUUUGAUUUCAUAGACUUAAAUUAGCGAAAAAACAAGCGUUUAUUUACCGCAACAGUCCUAUUGCUGGAGAACCAGGUUUCAAAAAAAU